rnacentral:rRNA from 1 species
GAUGAACGCUGGCGGCGUGCCUAAUACAUGCAAGUCGAGCGAACGGACGAGAAGCUUGCUUCUCUGAUGUUAGCGGCGGACGGGUGAGUAACACGUGGAUAACCUACCUAUAAGACUGGGAUAACUUCGGGAAACCGGAGCUAAUACCGGAUAAUAUUUUGAACCGCAUGGUUCAAAAGUGAAAGACGGUCUUGCUGUCACUUAUAGAUGGAUCCGCGCUGCAUUAGCUAGUUGGUAAGGUAACGGCUUACCAAGGCAACGAUGCAUAGCCGACCUGAGAGGGUGAUCGGCCACACUGGAACUGAGACACGGUCCAGACUCCUACGGGAGGCAGCAGUAGGGAAUCUUCCGCAAUGGGCGAAAGCCUGACGGAGCAACGCCGCGUGAGUGAUGAAGGUCUUCGGAUCGUAAAACUCUGUUAUUAGGGAAGAACAUAUGUGUAAGUAACUGUGCACAUCUUGACGGUACCUAAUCAGAAAGCCACGGCUAACUACGUGCCAGCAGCCGCGGUAAUACGUAGGUGGCAAGCGUUAUCCGGAAUUAUUGGGCGUAAAGCGCGCGUAGGCGGUUUUUUAAGUCUGAUGUGAAAGCCCACGGCUCAACCGUGGAGGGUCAUUGGAAACUGGAAAACUUGAGUGCAGAAGAGGAAAGUGGAAUUCCAUGUGUAGCGGUGAAAUGCGCAGAGAUAUGGAGGAACACCAGUGGCGAAGGCGACUUUCUGGUCUGUAACUGACGCUGAUGUGCGAAAGCGUGGGGAUCAAACAGGAUUAGAUACCCUGGUAGUCCACGCCGUAAACGAUGAGUGCUAAGUGUUAGGGGGUUUCCGCCCCUUAGUGCUGCAGCUAACGCAUUAAGCACUCCGCCUGGGGAGUACGACCGCAAGGUUGAAACUCAAAGGAAUUGACGGGGACCCGCACAAGCGGUGGAGCAUGUGGUUUAAUUCGAAGCAACGCGAAGAACCUUACCAAAUCUUGACAUCCUUUGACAACUCUAGAGAUAGAGCCUUCCCCUUCGGGGGACAAAGUGACAGGUGGUGCAUGGUUGUCGUCAGCUCGUGUCGUGAGAUGUUGGGUUAAGUCCCACAACGAGCGCAACCCUUAAGCUUAGUUGCCAUCAUUAAGUUGGGCACUCUAAGUUGACUGCCGGUGACAAACCGGAGGAAGGUGGGGAUGACGUCAAAUCAUCAUGCCCCUUAUGAUUUGGGCUACACACGUGCUACAAUGGACAAUACAAAGGGCAGCGAAACCGCGAGGUCAAGCAAAUCCCAUAAAGUUGUUCUCAGUUCGGAUUGUAGUCUGCAACUCGACUACAUGAAGCUGGAAUCGCUAGUAAUCGUAGAUCAGCAUGCUACGGUGAAUACGUUCCCGGGUCU